rnacentral:lncRNA from 12 species
GAAAUUUUAUUUCCUUGAAUUUGGAGGAGCUGGGCAAGAGUAGAGCACCAUCCACAUCAUUCCUUGUAGAGGUUCAUAGCUUCAGAAUUUUUGUCCAGGAUGGAGAAACACUUUUAGAACCACAUCUUAUGCUCAUGUGUGUCUCUGCCUGGCAACACAAGAUGCUGGCGUCAACCAGGGCUUCUUGGCAUUGUUGCAACAGCAUCCCUGAUGUUAAAAAGGUUCUGUGACACCUCCAGUGCCUUGAGUCAUCUUCUCUUGUUCUGCUCUCCCAUCUGUUCUGAGGGUGAGUGCCACCAGUGUCAGGUGGUGACACAUCACCAAGUGUUGUGCCACUGUUGAGUCUUGACAUGGGAGAAAAUAAUAAGUUUGCAGUUCUAAAUGAAAACAAGACCAUAGGAGCAAGAUCAACUAAAAAUGCAGCGACCUGCGCUUUCGAUGUGUUUGGCAGUUUGUUGUGAACUUUUCACUUGGGCCCAGAAAGAACAAUGCUUAAUUUUCUGAUCCCAGAUUGAAUUUACAGCUCUGGCAGCCAGAAAAUAAUCUUUGGACUUGUAAAUCAUGCGCAUUUGAUCUGGAAGUCACUGAGACAGAACAAAUACAGAACCUCACAAUGUCAUUCAUUCAGGGUUACUUUUUGGCUUGAAAGAGGACAUGCAAACAAAUGAAAGU